CCCACAUGAAAACACCACCAUCAUGCACCCACGUUAAGGUUUCAUCUGUGUAACCAUUAAUUCUAACAAGAAAAAAAAAUCUAGAAAAUUUGGAAAGCAAAAAACUGAAUGUAAACACCAAGUUGUAGCAUCUCUGAAUAGCAACUGUAGAAAUUAUUAAAGCAUGUAUUUCCUAGCCAACACACACAACGUGGUGGCAUGAAUG
rnacentral:lncRNA from 1 species